AUUGAACGCUGGCGGCAGGCCUAACACAUGCAAGUCGAACGGUAACAGGAAGCAGCUUGCUGCUUCGCUGACGAGUGGCGGACGGGUGAGUAAUGUCUGGGAAACUGCCUGAUGGAAGGGGAUAACUACUGGAAACGGUAGCUAUUACCGCAUAACGUCGCAAGACCAAAGAGGGGGACCUUAGGGCCUCUUGCCAUCGGAUGUGCCCAGAUGGGAUUAGCUAGUAGGUGGGGUAACGGCUCACCUAGGCGACGAUCCCUAGCUGGUCUGAGAGGAUGACCAGCCACACUGGAACUGAGACACGGUCCAGACUCCUACGGGAGGCAGCAGUGGGGAAUAUUGCACAAUGGGCGCAAGCCUGAUGCAGCCAUGCCGCGUGUAUGAAGAAGGCCUUCGGGUUGUAAAGUACUUUCAGCGGGGAGGAAGGGAGUAAAGUUAAUACCUUUGCUCAUUGACGUUACCCGCAGAAGAAGCACCGGCUAACUCCGUG
rnacentral:rRNA from 1 species